rnacentral:rRNA from 1 species
AGAAUCAACGCUGGCGGCGUGCCUAACACAUGCAAGUCGCACGAGAAAGGGUAGCAAUAUCCGAGUAAAGUGGCGCACGGGUGAGUAACACGUGAAUAAUCUACCUCCGAGUGGGGAAUAACUGAGAGAAACCUUAGCUAAUACCGCAUAACAUCGAGAGAUCAAAGCAGAAAUGCGCUUGAGGAGGGGGUCGCGGCUGAUUAGCUAGUUGGUAGGGUAAUGGCCUACCAAGGCGAAGAUCGGUAUCCGGCCUGAGAGGGCGCACGGACACACUGGAACUGAAACACGGUCCAGACUCCUACGGGAGGCAGCAGUGGGGAAUUUUGCGCAAUGGGGGAAACCCUGACGCAGCAACGCCGCGUGGAGGAUGAAGCCCUUUGGGGCGUAAACUCCUUUCGACUGGGAAGAUAAUGACGGUACCAGUGGAAGAAGCACCGGCUAACUCUGUGCCAGCAGCCGCGGUAAUACAGAGGGUGCGAGCGUUGUUCGGAAUUAUUGGGCGUAAAGGGCGCGUAGGCGGUGCGGUAAGUCACCUGUGAAAUCCCCAGGCUUAACUUGGGGCCUGCAGGCGAAACUGCCGUGCUGGAGGGUGGGAGAGGUGCGUGGAAUUCCCGGUGUAGCGGUGAAAUGCGUAGAUAUCGGGAGGAACACCUGUGGCGAAAGCGGCGCACUGGACCACUACUGACGCUGAGGCGCGAAAGCUAGGGGAGCAAACAGGAUUAGAUACCCUGGUAGUCCUAGCCCUAAACGAUGAUUGCUUGGUGUGAUCGGUAUCCAAUCCGAUCGUGCCGCAGCUAACGCGAUAAGCAAUCCGCCUGGGGAGUACGGUCGCAAGGCUGAA